rnacentral:rRNA from 1 species
UACAUGUGGGGCAAGCGUUGUUCGGAAUUACUGGGCAUAAAGGGUGCGUAGGUGGUUUGUUAAGUCAGGGGUGAAAUCCCGCGGCCCAACCGUGGAACUGCCUUUGAUACUGGCGAACUUGAGUGCGUGAGGGGUAGGGGGAACGAGCAGUGUAGCGGUGAAAUGCGUAGAUAUUGCUCGGAAGGCCAGAGCCGAAGGGGCCCUACUGGUGCGUAACUGACACUGAGGCACGAAAGCGUGGGGAGCAAACAGGAUUAGAUACCCUGGUAGU